rnacentral:misc_RNA from 1 species
UUGAGUUUACAAACUCUCAAACCCUCUGUGAACCUUUAUAUCGUUGCUUCGGCGGGACUGCCCCGGGUGCUUUCGGGCUCCGGAUCCAGGCGCCCGCCGAGGGUAUAAACACUCUUCUUAUUAUCAGUUUUUAUUCUGAGUGGCAUAAGCAAAAAUAAAUCA